rnacentral:rRNA from 1 species
GUGGGGAAUUUUGCGCAAUGGGGGAAACCCUGACGCAGCAACGCCGCGUGAGUGAUGAAGGCCUUCGGGUCGUAAAGCUCUGUCUAGAGGAAAGAAAUGUGGGGAGGUUAAUACCCUUUUCACUUGACGGUACCUCUGAAGGAAGCACCGGCUAACUCCGUGCCAGCAGCCGCGGUAAUACGGAGGGUGCGAGCGUUGUUCGGAAUUAUUGGGCGUAAAGCGCGUGUAGGCGGUCUUUUAAGUCUGAUGUGAAAGCCCCGGGCUCAACUUGGGAAGUGCAUUGGAAACUGGGAGACUUGAAUACGGGAGAGGGUAGUGGAAUUCCUAGUGUAGGAGUGAAAUCCGUAGAUAUUAGGAGGAACACCGGUGGCGAAGGCGGCUACCUGGACCGAUAUUGACGCUGAGACGCGAAAGCGUGGGGAGCAAACAGGAUUAGAUACCCCAGUAGUCC